rnacentral:rRNA from 1 species
AUGGCAACGUCGACGCAAAACAUCGAAAAGACACAAGACAAAAACGACGACACCACGGAGGUCCAAAAAGCUCAACUCACCGAAGAAAAGGUCGAAGAGGCAGCACCGGCGGAAAUCACUGAAAAGAAACCUCAACAAGACACGCACACAUACACAAGUAAAGAAGCAAAGGGCCACAGUGCAUUGGAAAACCAUGCGUCAAACAUUCCAGCGAAAGAGUCAGACAGCAACGAGAAAAAGGCCACACCAUCAGACAAGAAACAUUGUGUUGUAAAAGAUGUUGUCGCCAUAAACACGGCGGUAACCCAGGGUAGCACUCAAACAAAACGUGAACCGUUGAUCAUAGAAAACCUGGCCAUCAAAGAAGGGACAAAAGACAAAGGGAUCGAACAACUGUACAACAAUGUCAUGACAGCAAAUAAGGACAAAGGGCACGAGAUUUUAAUAAAUACAGAGACGACAACAGUAACAAUCAGCCACAUGGAACAAAGCUUCGACAUUGGAAAGCCAGUGCGCAGCGAAACCAUGGCAGUCAUGCUACAAAUGUUGAAAAAGCAAUUCAGGGGCACAAAAAGAAAGAUUCUAUCAACAUACAAAACCGGAUCAAUACGCACGGCCAACCAUGAAGAUCCAUUGGAGUUGAAAAAUAAAGACGAAGCACACAUCAGAGACAAGACAAUUCCUAAAAGGCUUAAAAGAUUCCUUGAUCUGGAAGAAGGAGAGAAACUACAAGAUUUCGACAUGGAACAAGUCCCAGAGUUGAGAAAGAAAAUUCUCUAUCAAAUAUUCUACCAAUACAGAGAUACAGCCUCACUUUCAUUAAUCAACUACACCGCAGAUAUGCUGAAACCUGAGGUCGAUAUGGAAGAUAGUGAAAUGGAACGAAUACAUUGUGACAUAAUUCAACAAGAGAUUCCUCCAACUCCCGAGCAAAUUGGGACAAGCGCUCAAGAGAUAAAAGUUAUUGACAUUAAUGACACAAGCAAUGAUGAAGAGAAAGAAGAUUAUCAUUUGAGCGGCAAGGAUACCACCAAGGUGUCUGAAGAAGCACUCACGGAAGAACAAGCCCAGAAAGAUCCUGGUUUACAUAGGGAACAACACGCGCAGACAGACACUGAUUUACAAAAGGAAGACAAACGGAAAGAUCCGCCGAUAGAACCAGAUAGACCACCCCCAGAUAAAAACAACGAAGCCAUAACACGAUCUCCUUUAGAAGUGGAUAACAGGACAAAGACCGUACCAACUCGCCAACAACAGCUUUCCAAACAGGAUAUUAACCCUGUUGACGAAGAUCGCAUACCAAGAACAUCACCAGAGAUAGAACAUGCACAAGAAGAAAAGAAGGAGAAAGGAAAUAUUUUAUCAGAAAAGAUACUUCAAAAGAGGAAAUACGAUGCUGAAGUCUCAAUAGAACCGAGCACCAAAAACAACAACACACAAAAGGACACACCAACAACUGGGCAGCUUAACAAGCAGGCACAGUUCGAUCACGACAAGAAAAGGAGAAGGCAUCUUGCAAGAGUGCAGACAAGUUCCCCAAAACCCUCGACCAUUCAAUCACACGAGAUCAGCUCAGCAAACAUAAUCUCAACUAAGAGGCCAUUCAAGCAAGCAAGCAUGGAAAUUCAGAAAGUCAACACUCCAGCACUUGUUCCAGGAGAUUUCAUUUACAAAGAAAAGGCCAUGCAACUCUAUAGAUAUCUGAUGAGCCGACAAGGACAAAAACAAUGCGGACAAGAACAGCUAUAUAAAACCUCAAAGAGCGAAGGCUACAUUUCAGGAAAAUCUUUCAUGGAACAAGCAGGGAAAGAAAACACACAAAUGGAGGGCUCCAUCCUAAACGUGUUACUGGAUGAAUGGACAGAACAGAAACAGUUCAACCCAGACGUCACAACUGUACUCCCUGCAGAAUUCGCAAAUAUGGUGCUAGGUCUCAAUUAUAAAAGAGGGGAGCUAUCAGAAUUCAACGAAGACGAUGCACUACAAGCAUUUGAACAACUCGUGCGAGGUAAAAACAUCCUGCACUCGAAGAUGAUCAUGAUACCUCAUCACACAGACAAGAACUACACGCUAUAUGUAAUGAACAAGUACAGAGAUAGCAUCGACAUCCUUGACUCACUGAACUAUGUAAACUACGCCGAUUUGUCUUAG